GACCAGUAGUAGUUCAGCAUUCAAACGAUCACAACUAGAAUCCGUUGAACACAGUUUUAUUAUAAAACAACUGUUUAUUUCAAAAUAUUUUUUCUUUUUUUAUCAGGAAGUGUUUGUGAACGUGAUUUUCGAAUUGUGAAAGUGAAUUGAAGCGAUAGAUUUGAUAACGAUUUAUUAUUUGAAAUUGGAAUUCUUUAUUUUAUUGUUUUUUUUUUCGUUCAGUUUUAUGGUUGUAGCGUUGUAGUUUACAAGUUGCUUGCGCCAUUGAAUGAUUUAACCUUUUUACCUGAUUUGGUUUACCUACACUUUAUUGAGUAAGGUUAUGGAGUUUUAAGAAUUAGUUGAUAUAAAAAUAAAAUUCAAGAUAUUCUCUUCCACAUAGAAAUAAGCCACAAUUUCUGAAUUUCGUUCUCUUUGGUACAACAAAAAUACUUAAAACAAUAUUACUUAUUCCAGCCUCAUUUUUCCACAGAUAUCACACGACCGACAUUCCGUAGUAAAUAAAAAUGCCAAUUAAGUCAGGCACCAAUGGCUCAACAGUUUUAAUAACACGAGUCGAAAAUUAAUUAAGUGUAAGGCAAUAUUUUCCGCUACAUUACUGAUUGGGAAACAAAUUACUGUGACCACGUGACCGUAAAGGUUGAAAUUCGCAUAGCAUCAUUCUCGGAUCGAGAACGCAAGAAAAUAAAUAAGUGUAUGGGUGUUAAUUAGUGAAAUGAGGUCUUUUCUAGCUAUAUUUUUGAUAUUAGUGUGUUUUGUGGACAAAAGUUAUGGAACAUUCGCUGAGUUUAUGAACAAUCUGCCUACUGAGGUUGCAAACGCGUUCAGUAAUGCUUGGACAUCUAUAACAGACGCCAUCAAGAAACCAGUCAGACUAAAGCGCCUUGGUCCUGGAGGAAGACUGAAAUCAACUCCGUCUUAUGAAAUAGGUUCUCUACCUCCUGAAGACGAAAGAAGUAUAUUCGGGAAUCCUGGCGCCACGCCGCCUUCCUAUUUUCGUUCAACAACAUACUUUGGUAACAAAUUGACAUUACCGGUGCUACCUGCACCAAAGUAUAAGAAUCUCGAUGACUGGAGGGAAAUGCAGAAAGCUCAUUUUGCCAAACGAAAAAAAGUUGCCAACACUGAGACAGUGCCACCGGUGAAACUAAAUAGAAAUAUUUAUAAAAACCGUUUUAUUUUUUAUAAAUAUUAAAAUAAGUAAGUACAGAUGAACUCAAGGUUCAAGGCUCAACCCCCUUGACGCAACUGAAGAUCCAGCGCCUGUAGUUAUAUUCAUAGAACCGCCUGAUGAAGUAACAAGAGAUAAAAAAGGAAGGACUAAACCCAUUACAAGAUACGACGACGAAAGUUUCGCUACUAUGAUGGUUUUGCAAUAAGGGUUUGAACAUUGAACAACCUCCAUGUACAAAAUGACAUUGAAAAAGGCAAAGACAACAAAAUAUCAUACAGUUUAACGUGUACCAAGUAAC